AUUGAACGCUGGCGGCAUGCCUUACACAUGCAAGUCGAACGGCAGCGGGCCUUCGGGUGCCGGCGAGUGGCGAACGGGUGAGUAAUGCAUCGGAACGUGCCAUUGAGUGGGGGAUAACGUAGCGAAAGUUGCGCUAAUACCGCAUAUUCUGUGAGCAGGAAAGCAGGGGACCGCAAGGCCUUGCGCUCUUCGAGCGGCCGAUGUCAGAUUAGCUAGUUGGUGAGGUAAAGGCUUACCAAGGCGACGAUCUGUAGCGGGUCUGAGAGGAUGAUCCGCCACACUGGAACUGAGACACGGUCCAGACUCCUACGGGAGGCAGCAGUGGGGAGUCUUAGACAAUGGGGGAAACCCUGAUCUAGCCAUGCCGCGUGGACGAUGAAGGCCUUAGGGUUGUAAAGUCCUUUCAGCUGGGAAGAUAAUGACGGUACCAGCAGAAGAAGCCCCGGNUAACUCCGUGCCAGCAGCCGCGGUAAUGU
rnacentral:rRNA from 1 species